rnacentral:sRNA from 1 species
CACCGCCUGGGGAGUACGACCGCAAGGUUAAAACUCAAAUGAAUUGACGGGGACCCGCACAAGUAGUGGAGCAUGUGGUUUAAUUCGAAGAUACGCGCAGAACCUUACCAACACUUGACAUGUUCGUCGCGACUUUAAGAGAUUAAAGUUUUCGGUUCGGCCGGACGAAACACAGGUGCUGCAUGGCUGUCGUCAGCUCGUGUCGUGAGAUGUUGGGUUAAGUCCCGCAACGAGCGCAACCCUCACUUUUAGUUGCCAUCAUUAAGUUGGGCACUCUGAAAGAACUGCCAGUGAUAAGCUGGAGGAAGGUGGGGAUGACGUCAAGUCCUCAUGGCCCUUACGUGUUGGGCUACACACGUGCUACAAUGGUAUUUACAACAGGAAGCAAGACGGCGACGUUAAGCAAAUCCUUAAAAAAUACCUCAGUUCGGAUUGCACUCUGCAACUCGAGUGCAUGAAGCUGGAAUUACUAGUAAUCGUGGAUCAGCGUGCCACGGUGAAUGCGUUCCCGGGUCUUGUACACACCGCCCGUCACACCAUGGGAGUUGGUUCUACCUUAAGGCAAGGUUUAAAACCCUUGACCACGGUAUAGUCAGCGACUGGGGUGAAGUCGUAACAAGGUAGCCGUAGGGGAACCUGCGGCUGGAUUACCUCCUUUCUAAGGAUGAAUGAAAAAUAAAUUUUCAUUCUAAAUAAUAUACAGGUUAAUGUUGACCGUCCUCAUUUCUCUUCUUAAAAUUAGUGUUUCUCUUGCAUGGGGGCCGGUAGCUCAGUUGGUUAGAGCACACCCUUGAUAAGGGUGGGGUCGAAAGUUCGAGUCUUUCUCGGCCCACCAAAAAAUAAGAUUAAGGGGGGAUUAGCUCAGCUGGGAGAGCGCCUGAUUUGCAUUCAGGAGGUCAGCGGUUCGAUCCCGCUAUCCUCCACCAAAACACUUAGUUAUAUAAAAUUGUAAAUAAAAAUUAUUAAUAUCAAUAUCUAUAUCCGAACAUUAAUAAUGUUAUUAGUUAAUGUUCAAAAAAUUUGAUUCAACACAGAAUUUUUUUCUG